GUCGGCUACGGGGAUAUCUGUCCGACCACGCCUCUGGGCAAGAUUGUCGGUAGCGUGUGCUGCAUCUGCGGUGUGCUCGUCAUCGCGCUGCCCAUCCCCAUCAUCGUCAACAAC
rfam:Ixodes scapularis strain Wikel colony gcontig_1107728750644, whole genome shotgun sequence.